CUCAAAUUUGCAGAUUCACCAGUCGUCGUUAAGAAACCGGUCGGAAGAAAUAUCCAUCGGCUUGCAGUUUAGUGAACCAGAACUGAAGCGAUGAAAGCAAUCUGAUGAAGAAGCCUAAGUUGUGGAAUGAAUAUAGAUUAUGUACCGACAAAGUGUGAUGAUGGCUCAGCAAAGGCAACAACCUACUCAAGUACCCGAGUUCAGGCUAUCUCAAGAAUGGACAUAUUGAAUAACUGAAUUAGGAAAUGUUAGCUAAAUAUAGCGUAUAGUAUAGUAUACAAGAUUUUGAGAAUGGGUUUUAGUGUUAGAACUAGAAAAGUGCCCUGCGCGCGUUGCGCCGUGGGCAAAGAAAUUGACCACAUCUAUGCAUAAACUCUUGGUUGCAGCUCAUGUAUCUAACUUGAUGGAAAUAUAAAUCUAGCCCCCGCCGCAUUGCGGCGG
rnacentral:lncRNA from 1 species